UCAACAAACUAAAAGGUUACAUAAACAAAGACUUAAUUCUCAGUAGUUCUGGCAUGUGUCUCUUCUACCAGUGAAUUUCUCUUUCAGGUAUGCAGUCUUCAUCUCAGUUAAGAGGUAACAGGUAGAACAGGUCUGGAACAUGCAGGCUUUAAAAAUAUUUUGCCACUUAUCAGCUUAAGGAGAUUUUGGGCUGAGACGAUGGGGUUUUCUAGAUAAACAAUCAUGUCAUCUGCAGACAGGGACAAUUUGACUUCCUCUUUUCCUAAUUGAAUACCCUUUAUUUCUUUCUCCUGCCUGAUUGCCCUGGCCAGAACUUCCAACACUAUGUUGAAUAGGAGUGGUGAGAGAGGGCAUCCCUGUCUUGUGCCAGUUUUCAAAGGGAAUGCUUCCAGUUUUUGC
rnacentral:lncRNA from 1 species